UACGGGGGGGGGCAAGCGUUGUUCGGAAUUACUGGGCGUAAAGGGCUCGUAGGCGGCCAACUAAGUCGGAUGUGAAAUCCCCAGGCUUAACCUGGGAACUGCAUCCGAUACUGGAUGGCUUGAAUCCGGGAGAGGGAUGCAGAAUUCCAGGUGUAGCGGUGAAAUGCGUAGAUAUCAGGAGGAACACCGAUGGCGAAGGCAGGUCACUGGGCCGCAACUGACGCUGAGGAGCGAAAGCAUGGGGAGCGAACAGG
rnacentral:rRNA from 1 species